ACAUACGUUAGGAUAUUGGAAUUCUCUUUGCUGACAAGGCCUAUCCCAGGAAUGAUACAACUGUGAAAGGCUCAGUCCUUCAGAUUCCAUCUACCCCUGCCCAGCUCCUCCCCAAGAAGACCUUUGGAUGAAUAGGAAAGAUAUGGGGUUUACAUGACCUCAUGAUACCCUGGUUUGAGAGGCACUGCUCCUCAUUGCAUCUGCUCUCUAUUCAGCAAGCCUAAGGAAGAGGAUCAUUGAUGGAAGGGACAUCCUCUCUGUCCUGCUCUCUGCACCACAGAAGAAACAUAAGGAGUUCACCAGACUUGAGUCUGGGUAUGCUACAAAAAUGUGACUUCUUUUCCUGACAAAGCCUGGAUUUUGAACUUAUUUUCAAGUUGUAGAUGCAAGCUAAAAUCUAAUUUGACAGUCAAAGCUGGACAAGGACUCCCCUGUGUUCUGGUGGGGACUAUGUUCUGACACCUUUUCCCUGAAGCACGGAAACCCAUUGUUUCAAUGAGUGGGAAGUCCUAAAGCAAUGUGAUCUACAGGAUAAGAAGACACACCAAAAAAAAUAUCCUGAAGUUGCUGAUGUAAGAAGGAUGGUUGGAGAACAGCUCUAUUUCAAGAACAUCUGAAUAUGAUGUUUUUCAUAAUCUUAAAAAAACCUGUAUCGGUAAUCAAUACAAUACAUUCCAAGUGACCCUAUUUUUUUGCAAAAGAAGAAGAAAAUCUCUAGAAAACCAUUUGCAUUCAUAUAAGCUUUACAAUGCCUGAAACAAAUGUUUAGGCCUCAGUCUUUUCCAGUUCAAAGACCAAUGAAAAUAAUUUGUAGACCACACUUGAACAACCACAAAUUGAGUGCUGUUCCUAAAGGAAGCUUUCGCAGCUGGGAUGCCUGAAACAAUUCUGGCAUUAAGUGGGUGAAUAUUAUUAUUAAUAAUAUUUAAUUAAGUUUCUACCUGAGCACCCUGCUGAAAGACUCUCUAAAAACUAGUCUAACAUCAUUAAUCUAACAAAAUAAGGGCCAAAUUAGGAAACAGAAGAAGGCUACAGUUUUAUCAUUGUACUGACCUAUCUUAGAGGUAACGUUGACUCUCCUUAGAGAUAGUUUCCAAAAUACUAUUACUCAGUUGAAGAAAAGUUAGACCAUGCUCAAGAAUAAUUGUUUUGAGAUUGUCUUAUGCCCCACAACCUCCCUGCAAGUGCCAUUUUGCUAUGUUCCUUAAAACCACCUCUUUUUCAAGGAUUCAAUUCCCUUAAGUCUGCCUGCCAGCCUUUGUCUCAACUCAACUCAAAAUGGCAAGGAUAUGACUUGGUUUAUCUACCCAAGUUGAUGGAUAACCAAUUAGACUUUAGUGUGACUGUAUAUGCUUCUAUACACACUCUAUAUACUUCUCAAGAAGUAUUUGUAGUGUUUGCCUUUGAUCUAUAAUUGUAGCUUGAAAGCUCUUUUUUUCCUAUUCAGUAGACUUCAGAUAACUGCAAGCCAUAGGCAGUCUCUCUCAUUUGAAAAGAGAAAAUCUUUUCUUCAAGGACAAUAUCUGGUCUCCCCAACCCAGAUGGUCCCUGCUUCCUGAGCAGACCUAUUUUGUUUGUUGUUGUUUUGAGACAGGGUCUCUCUCUGUUGACGAGGCUAGAGUGCGGUGGUGUGAUCAUGGCUCACUGCUGUGUUGACCUCCCAGGCUUAAGCAAUCCUCCCACCUCAGCCUCCUGAGUAGCGGGGACCACAGGCAUGUACCAUCACACUUGGAAAUUAUUUUUAUUUUUAUUAGAGACAGGGUCUCCCCAUGUGGCCCAAGCUGAUCUCUAACUCCUGAGCUCAAGUGAUCCUCCUGCCUUGGCUUCCCAAAGAGCUGGGAUUACAGAUGUGAGCCACCAUGCCUAGCUUCUAUUAAUAAUGUCAGUAAGAAGGUAUUGCCCUUCUCCACCAGCUCCUAAAAUUAGGUAGGGCUGUGGCCUUCUUGCCUUUGAAGAUGACAUUCCCAAU
rnacentral:lncRNA from 10 species